rnacentral:rRNA from 1 species
GGGUUGUGAGGUUAAGCGACUAAGCGUACACGGUGGAUGCCCUGGCAGUCAGAGGCGAUGAAGGACGUGCUAAUCUGCGAUAAGCGUCGGUAAGGUGAUAUGAACCGUUAUAACCGGCGAUUUCCGAAUGGGGAAACCCAGUGUGAUUCGUCACACUAUCAUUAACUGAAUCCAUAGGUUAAUGAGGCGAACCGGGGGAACUGAAACAUCUAAGUACCCCGAGGAAAAGAAAUCAACCGAGAUUCCCCCAGUAGCGGCGAGCGAACGGGGAGGAGCCCAGAGCCUGAAUCAGUGUGUGUGUUA